AUGGCUUUGUGGUGUUUUGGUUAAGAUCAAGUGAAGUAUUUGGUAUGAUUAGUUUAAUAUCUGAUGCAUCUUUGACGUAGAAAAAAAUGUAAAAUUGAUUUAUGGAGCUAGAAGCCACAAACAAAAUGCAUUUCCUGUACUAAAUGGAUCAACCUGUUAUUAUAGCCCUGAUGUAUGAAUGGCAGCACACAUU